CAGGUGCUGCAUGGCUGUCGUCAGCUCGUGUCGUGAGAUGUUCGGUUAAGUCCGCUAACGAGCGCAACCCUCACUGUGUGUUAUAUGUGUCACACGGGACUGCCGGUUUUAAGCCGGAGGAAGGCGGGGGAUGACGUCAAGUCAGCAUGGCCUUUAUAUCCUGGGCUACACACACGCUACAAUGGCCGGUACAAUGGGUUGCAAAGCCGCGAGGUAGAGCCAAUCCCGAAAGCCGGUCUAAGUUCAGAUUGUAGGCUGCAACUCGCCUACAUGAAGCCGGAGUUGCUAGUAACCGCGCGUUCCAGCAUUAGUGCGGUGAAUACGUUCCCGGGGGAUU
rnacentral:rRNA from 1 species